ensembl:lncRNA
CUUGAAUACUUUAAAUUCAGCAUUUCAGAUUAUAAACUUGCAGAUGUAGAGACCAAAUUUUCAGUACAUAUAUUCACAGCAUGGAACAUCAUGGAGUCCUUGUGCUUGAAUGAGUGCUACGCAUUACCUGCAAUGUAAUAAAAGUAGUAGUAACAGGGAUAUCACAUCCUAAUCAUGAUAUUCUUUGCACAGAUAAAAAUAAAUCUAUAACCUGCUCCUUUCCCACUCAGUAACUGUUGUAGCAAGAAGAUGUGGUACCCAAAAAUGUGCCCGCAUUUGCUGCUGUGGAAACAUGGCAUGGCUUCCCUUACCUUUGCAAUGUAAAGAGUUUUUGGCUGCACAUGAAGGAGAAGUUUUGGCUUUUCAGAACUUGAGAAUAUUAAGGUCCUGCAAGUAGAACACCCCAAAGACUUCGUCACUGCUGAAAUCCAUUGUCUAAAGCACAUGAACCUCUCUGCCUUGUUUUUAUUGAAUGGAAAUGCUACAUAACUACUGCAAGGAGGCUGAGACGGAAACUGGACCAGAAGCAUUAACCAGCUCAAAUGAGAAAUACAAACUAAAAACCUGUCUGUCCGUUUUGGAAACAUGCAGAUAAUGUGUAUGUCACUUGAAAUUCACAUGCAUUUGGGAUCUGCUAAGAAAAGUAAUAUACAGCAAUGAUAUCUUUGAUCAUCGAGAGAACUCAGAAACAUAGGAACUGUGUCGAGUGUGGUUAUCAUCAACCCAUUUUCUAUUCCCAGUGCACAAAUCAUUUCAUGCAUUCUACAACCCAAGCCACGAUGCUGGGCUUCAAAAGCAAUUUCAGCAGCAAAAUAAGGUGCUUUUCUUCAAUUUUCAAGCCAUUUGUACGAGGUUAGUGUUGUUUACCCACCUGGUACACUGAUAUUUACAUACUCCUUUAAAGAAAAUUGGU